GCUUGCUCUCGGGUGACGAGUGGCGGACGGGUGAGUAAUGUCUGGGAAACUGCCUGAUGGAGGGGGAUAACUACUGGAAACGGUAGCUAAUACCGCAUAACGUCGCAAGACCAAAGAGGGGGACCUUCGGGCCUCUUGCCAUCAGAUGUGCCCAGAUGGGAUUAGCUAGUAGGUGGGGUAACGGCUCACCUAGGCGACGAUCCCUAGCUGGUCUGAGAGGAUGACCAGCCACACUGGAACUGAGACACGGUCCAGACUCCUACGGGAGGCAGCAGUGGGGAAUAUUGCACAAUGGGCGCAAGCCUGAUGCAGCCAUGCCGCGUGUAUGAAGAAGGCCUUCGGGUUGUAAAGUACUUUCAGCGGGGAGGAAGGUGUUGUGGUUAAUAACCACAGCAAUUGACGUUACCCGCAGAAGAAGCACCGGCUAACUCCGUGCCAGCAGCCGCGGUAAUACGGAGGGUGCAAGCGUUAAUCGGAAUUACUGGGCGUAAAGCGCACGCAGGCGGUCUGUCAAGUCGGAUGUGAAAUCCCCGGGCUCAACCUGGGAACUGCAUUCGAAACUGGCAGGCUGGAGUCUUGUAGAGGGGGGUAGAAUUCCAGGUGUAGCGGUGAAAUGCGUAGAGAUCUGGAGGAAUACCGGUGGCGAAGGCGGCCCCCUGGACAAAGACUGACGCUCAUGUGCGAAAGCGUGGGGAGCAAA
rnacentral:rRNA from 1 species